rnacentral:rRNA from 1 species
UACGUAGGGUGCGAGCGUUAAUCGGAAUUACUGGGCGUAAAGCGUGCGUAGGCGGUCACAUAAGCUUGAUGUGAAAGCCCCGGGCUCAACCUGGGAAUGGCAUUGAGGACUGUGUGGCUCGAGUGCGGCAGAGGGAGGUGGAAUUCCAAGUGUAGCAGUGAAAUGCGUAGAGAUGUGGAGGAACACCGAUGGCGAAGGCAGCCUCCUGGGCCGACACUGACGCUGAGGGCACGAAAGCGUGGGGAGCGAACAGG